rnacentral:rRNA from 1 species
UCCACGCCGUAAACGAUGUCACUAGCCGUUGGGACUCUUGAAGUCUUAGUGGCGCAGCUAACGCACUAAGUUGACCGCCUGGGGAGUACGGCCGCAAGGUUAAAACUCAAAUGAAUUGACGGGGGCCCGCACAAGCGGUGGAGCAUGUGGUUUAAUUCGACGCAACGCGAAGAACCUUACCUGGCCUUGACAUCCAGAGAACUUUCCAGAGAUGGAUUGGUGCCUUCGGGAACUCUGAGACAGGUGCUGCAUGGCCGUCGUCAGCUCGUGUCGUGAGAUGUUGGGUUAAGUCCCGUAACGAGCGCAACCCCUAUCCUUGGUUGCUAGCAGGUAAUGCUGAGAACUCCAGGGAGACUGCCGGUGACAAACCGGAGGAAGAUGGGGAUGACGUCAGGUCAUCAUGGCCCUUACGGCCAGGGCUACACACGUGCUACAAUGGCGCGUACAGAGGGCUGCCAACUCGCGAGAGUGAGCCAAUCCCUUAAAACGCGUCGUAGUCCGGAUCGGAGUCUGCAACUCGACUCCGUGAAGUCGGAAUCGCUAGUAAUCGCGAAUCAGAAUGCCGCGGUGAAUACGUUCCCGGGCCUUGUACACACCGCCCGUCACACCAUGGGAGUGGACUGCACCAGAAGUAGUUAGUCUAACCUUCGGGAGGACGAUUACCACGGUGUGGUUCAUGACUGGGGUGAAGUCGUAACAAGGUAGCCGAG